rnacentral:rRNA from 1 species
GAUGAACGCUGGCGGCGUGCCUAAUACAUGCAAGUCGAGCGAACAGACGAGGAGCUUGCUCCUCUGACGUUAGCGGCGGACGGGUGAGUAACACGUGGCUAACCUACCUAUAAGACUGGGAUAACUUCGGGAAACCGGAGCUAAUACCGGAUAAUCUAUUGAAACGCAUGGUUCAAUAGUGAAAGACGGUUUUGCUGUCACUUAUAGAUGGAUCCGCGCCGCAUUAGCUAGUUGGUAAGGUAACGGCUUACCAAGGCAACGAUGCGUAGCCGACCUGAGAGGUGGAGCGGCCACACUGGAACUGAGACACGGUCCAGACUCCUACGGGAGGCAGCAGUAGGGAAUCUUCCGCAAUGGGCGAAAGCCUGACGGAGCAACGCCGCGUGAGUGAUGAAGGGCUUCGGAUCGUAAAACUCUGUUAUUAGGGAAGAACAAAUGUGGAAGUAACUAUGCACGUCUUGACGGUACCUAAUCAGAAAGCCACGGCUAACUACGUG